UGCAAAUCACUCCCGAAUAUCGCCGCAGUUUACGCACUGUACACUUUUGCGAUUUACAAACGUCUCCACAUGGGUGGUCUGUGUCUCGACCAUUUCCUGAAAGCGCGUUUGAUAUAAAUCCCUCAGACUCAUCCCGGGCCUCCUGGGAGCCGUCCAGGGCCAGCGCUAGGGGAGAGAGUGUUUCCAUGACUCUUAAUGAAGUUUGGCCACUUUUAGGCCGGUCUCUCCCCCAUCCCCACCCCCAACACCACCAAACAUCAAGAUCAAUGCUCUCCCGCCUGGAAUAAAGAGAUUAUCUCCAGCCGAACUCUCCCACCCUCCC